AGUGAACGCUGGCGGUAGGCCUAACACAUGCAAGUCGAACGGCAGCACAGUAAGAGCUUGCUCUUACGGGUGGCGAGUGGCGGACGGGUGAGGAAUACAUCGGAAUCUACUUUUUCGUGGGGGAUAACGUAGGGAAACCUACGCUAAUACCGCAUACGACCUACGGGUGAAAGCAGGGGAUCUUCGGACCUUGCGCGAUUGAAUGAGCCGAUGUCGGAUUAGCUAGUUGGCGGGGUAAAGGCCCACCAAGGCGACGAUCCGUAGCUGGUCUGAGAGGAUGAUCAGCCACACUGGAACUGAGACACGGUCCAGACUCCUACGGGAGGCAGCAGUGGGGAAUAUUGGACAAUGGGCGCAAGCCUGAUCCAGCCAUACCGCGUGGGUGAAGAAGGCCUUCGGGUUGUAAAGCCCUUUUGUUGGGAAAGAAAGCAGCAGGUUAAUACCCCGCUGUUCUGACGGUACCCAAAGAAUAAGCACCGGCUAACUUCGUG
rnacentral:rRNA from 1 species